rnacentral:rRNA from 1 species
AGUGAACGCUGGCGGUAGGCCUAACACAUGCAAGUCGAACGGCAGCACAGAGGAGCUUGCUCCUUAGGUGGCGAGUGGCGGACGGGUGAGGAAUACAUCGGAAUCUACUCUGUCGUGGGGGAUAACGUAGGGAAACUUACGCUAAUACCGCAUACGACCUACGGGUGAAAGCAGGGGACCUUCGGGCCUUGCGCGAUUGAAUGAGCCGACGUCGGAUUAGCUAGUUGGCGGGGUAAAGGCCCACCAAGGCGACGAUCCGUAGCUGGUCUGAGAGGAUGAUCAGCCACACUGGAACUGGGACACGGUCCAGACUCCUACGGGAGGCAGCAGUGGGGAAUAUUGGACAAUCGGCGCAAGCCUGAUCCAGCCAUACCGCGUGGGUGAAGAAGGCCUUCGGGUUGUAAAGCCCUUUUGUUGGGAAAGAAAUCCAGCUGGCUAAUACCCGGUUGGGAUGACGGUACCCAAAGAAUAAGCACCAGCUAACUUCGUGCCAGCCGCCGCGGUAA